GUGAAUCAUCGAAUCUUUGAACGCAAAUUGCACUCUCUGGUAUUCCGGAGAGUAUGCCUGUUUGAGGGUAAGUAUAAAUAACAAUCGGUGUGGUUGCUGCCUUUCGUGGUGGCGAACCGGAUUUGGGUCGACUUGUCUUCGGUUAAGUGACAUAAAAUUUUGCAUGAUUUUUUUCGAACGUAUUUAAUUGAUUUUACGUACGUUUGUGAUAUAUCAAUCUUGGUGUGGUCAUCCUC
rnacentral:misc_RNA from 1 species